CCCUAUGGGGUGCAGCAGGCGGGGGCGACCAGGGGAUACAUAGCCAACAGCGGGUCGCAGGUGACCAUAACCCUGCCGCCAUCGCCGGCCGUCGGCGAUCUCAUAGAGAUUGCCGGCAGCGGCUCCGGCGGCUGGAGGAUUGCCCAGAACGCGGGACAGUCGAUACAUUCACAGGAUUUUAUUAUUAAGGAUAGUUCUAUCGGUGUCACCUGGGCCACCCGUGAUUCAGCUAGAACUUGGAUGGGAGUAACUUCAUCAUCAGAUGGAACAAAGCUUGUUGCUACUGUAAGUAGCGGUCAGAUAUACACAUCGACGGAUUCAGGGGAAACCUGGAUCGCCCGUGAUUCAAGCAGAAAUUGGCGGGAGGGC
rnacentral:rRNA from 1 species